UGGGGAAUCGUCUAACGGCAGGACUACGGACUCUGACUCCGUCAAUCAAGGUUCAAAUCCUUGUUCCCCAGCCA
rnacentral:tRNA from 1 species